UCAACAUCUGUAUCAACGUCCAGCACCACACAGCAACGUGUCAUCACAGGAAAGAGAUAAAGGAAGCCUGUUCCAGCAGGAGAAUCUGACCAUCUUGAGUGACGUUGAGGCUGAAGCUGAACUGGUUUCAGUGUGAUGGACACAUCCAACUGAUCCUUGAGGAAGCAACGGUGGUGGAAGCUGCAUUUAAUCAGGCAUAUCUUGGCAUGCUGGGUGACCUUGGGCAUGCGAUGCAUGACCGCAUGUGACCUGCGCCCCCAACCCAGACUACAGACACAUGAAACUUUUGUAUAGUUUGUGUUGCUUUUUUUGUAUUUGCUCUUUUUGUUGCAGUAAACAAUUUGACUCAUG